AGCGAUAUCACAUUGAAACACCAGUUCUCAUAUGAUCACCAAAGUUAAGCAAAAUAGAGCCUGGUCAGUGCCUAGAUUGGUGACUUCUUGAGAAUACCAGGUGCUGUAU